GCGCCGGUGGUGUAAGGCGAACAUCGCUGCCCGGAAAGCAGAAAGUGCGGGUACGAAUCCCGCCUGGCGCA
rnacentral:tRNA from 1 species